CAGUGAUGGAGUUGGUGCUGCCAGAAGCAGGCACUGGCAAAUAGAAAUUGAAUUGCAUCAGUCUAAAGACAGCAGACAUGGAGGAAAAAACUAUAAGUUUGGGACCUUGAAGCCUGGGCUAUGAAGCUUGAUAUUGAUUUGUUAAACAGGAAAGAGACUCAUGCCAACUUGUCUCAAAAGGGAAUCCCACAUGGGAAAAGGGCACUAUAUAAUGUAAAUUUACUAGAAGUUGCACAGAUGCAGGGACCCAGAAGAGUUAGGAUGCUGUUACUGAAAUCCAGGCCCUAGGUGAUGGCACACUAAAUGGGCAUGACUGGCUGAACAGGUGGAAUAGAAGAGGCAGGUCCAGGAAAUGUUUCCACAGGGAAAAUAAAACAAAACAAAAAACAGCAACAAGAAGAAACCCAGGAGCUUGCAACUUAAUAAGUACAAGAGGAGGAGACAUACAAAAGACAGAGGUUAAACCGUCUCCUGUGUCUGGAGAAAGAG
rnacentral:lncRNA from 1 species